rnacentral:rRNA from 1 species
UACGAAGGGUGCAAGCGUUAAUCGGAAUUACUGGGCGUAAAGCGUGCGUAGGCGGUUUGUUAAGUCUGUUGUGAAAUCCCCGGGCUCAACCUGGGAAUGGCAAUGGAUACUGGCAAGCUAGAGUGUGUCAGAGGAUGGUGGAAUUCCCGGUGUAGCGGUGAAAUGCGUAGAGAUCGGGAGGAACAUCAGUGGCGAAGGCGGGUCUCUGGGCAAUUCCUGACGCUGAGGCGCGAAAGCGUGGGGAGCAAACGGG